GAUGAACGCUGGCGGCGUGCCUAAUACAUGCAAGUCGAGCGAACGGACGAGAAGCUUGCUUCUCUGAUGUUAGCGGCGGACGGGUGAGUAACACGUGGAUAACCUACCUAUAAGACUGGGAUAACUUCGGGAAACCGGAGCUAAUACCGGAUAAUAUUUUGAACCUCAUGGUUCAAAAGUGAAAGACGGUCUUGCUGUCACUUAUAGAUGGAUCCGCGCUGCAUUAGCUAGUUGGUAAGGUAACGGCUUACCAAGGCAACGAUGCAUAGCCGACCUGAGAGGGUGAUCGGCCACACUGGAACUGAGACACGGUCCAGACUCCUACGGGAGGCAGCAGUAGGGAAUCUUCCGCAAUGGGCGAAAGCCUGACGGAGCAACGCCGCGUGAGUGAUGAAGGUCUUCGGAUCGUAAAACUCUGUUAUUAGGGAAGAACAUAUGUAUAAGUAACUGUGCACAUCUUGACGGUACCUAAUCAGAAAGCCACGGCUAACUACGUG
rnacentral:rRNA from 1 species